rnacentral:SRP_RNA from 1 species
GCCGGGGGUGGUGGCGCGCGCCUGUAAUCCAAGUUUCCUGGAGGCUGGGGCUGGAGGAUGGUUGGAGCUCAGGAGCUCAGGAGCUCUGAGCUGCAGUGGACUAUGCUGAUCAGGUGUCUGCACUCAGUUUGGUAUCAAUAUGGUCUUCCUGGGGGAGCCCGGGACAACCAGGUCGUCUAAGAAGGGGUGAAUCGGCCCAGGUCAGAAACGGAGCAGGUCAAAGCCCGCGUGCCACUCAAUAGUGGGAUCGCACCUGAGAGUAGACACUGAAGCACAGCCUGAGUUACUCAUCCAGACCCAGUCUUU